UACGUAGGGUGCAAGCGUUGUCCGGAAUUAUUGGGCGUAAAGAGCUCGUAGGCGGUUUGUCGCGUCUGCUGUGAAAACCCGAGGCUCAACCUCGGGCCUGCAGUGGGUACGGGCAGACUAGAGUGCGGGUAGGGGAGAUUGGAAUUCCUGGUGUAAGCGGUCGAAUGCGCAGAUAUCAGGAGGACACCGAUGCGAAGGCAGCUCGCUGGGACGUAACUGACGCUGA
rnacentral:rRNA from 1 species